GACUCUCAGCAACGGAUAUCUGGGCUCUCGUGUCAAUGAAAAACGUAGCGAAAUGCGAUACUUGGUGUAAAUUACAGAAUCCCAUGAACCAUCGAGUCUUUGAAUGCAAGUUGCGCCUGAAGCCAUUUGGCCGAGGACACAUUUGUCUGGCCGUCA